AAUAGCUAAAGAAAAGUUGCAAGAAAGGAAUAGCUAAGAGCUAAAAGUAAGCAUUAAAUGGCAAAGAGUAAAGAAUGAUUAAGAACAUAAGUAGUGUUAAAGUAACCUACUUGCAUGAUUCCAGGUAUUGCAUAUUGCAUUUCGUGAGGCAGGACAUGUAUUUCAAUUGAAUAUAUAUCUGUUGUAUAUUGUUGAUCUAACAUGUUGCAGUGCCUCGUUAGACCUGUUGGCUGAGCUUGUUCUCUUGGGUGGCUAAACCCACUGAGGACUAUGGACAAUAGUCUCACCCCCGUGUUGCUGUUUUGGGGGUACAGGUACACACGUGUGCGGCGCGGCGGCGCAAGGCGAGGACGUAGUUCUGCAGAUAGCGUCCUACCCAGAGACUGAGAUAGCAGUACCCGAGUUGGUGGUCUAGCUUGGGAGGUUUAAAGACAAGAACAAACUUUUGUUUAAGUUGUAAAAGAAUCUGUAAUAAUUAUGAUUGUAUUUGGAGGUUGAUUGUAAAAGAAAAAUUAUGUUGUAAAAUGCAUCUAAGUUGAAUGCUGUAAUAACUUAGUAGUUUAUGUUUUUGAUACUCCUUAUGCAAUCUAUGGUUGAAUACCUGUUCCUGGUUGGAACCUCUCGUAUUGUAUUGAUUGCGAUGCCUUGAAUGUACAGGGGAGACUCUGUCCGUAGUACAGGGGAAACCCUGUCCAUUCGGCGUGUCGGCGGCGCCGGGACCUCGGCCAAAUAGGCGGGUGGUCGCGGGUCGUGACAGUUGGGGUAUCAGAGCAUAAAGUAGAGAAUGGGAAUGGUUUAGGCAGACCUAGGAGACCCUAGGAUAGUGAAACCAUAGAGGUUAAGACUCGUGAGAGACGAGGAUUUGUGACUUGUGGCGAAAGAUAAUUAAUUGGGUCAAGUGUUGAAACCUCUAAGACGGAUGUUGGAGGUAGAUUCAAGGUGUUGUUGAUUCUCAACCGAGGGUGUUCAUGUUGGGUGCACACAACAUGAAGCCGAGUGAUGAGAAUAGACGCCCUUGCGUGACUUUCGCCCGAUUGGCUUUUGAGCCGGUGUUAAUGGUCUCGUGUUCGACCCAAGUUGGUCGAGAACUAAUCAAGUUGUCGUGUUUCAGGAAAAGAUGGCACCGCGUAGGCGAUCUUCGCCCAGACCGGCGCAGGAGGGGACCAGUGGUGUCCCUGAGCAGACCGACGCGAGCGGAGACUCGGAGCUUCGUGAUCAGUUGGCCACACUCAUUGGAGUGAUGAGGCAACAAACUAAUGUGGUGCAGAGGCAGCAGGAGGCUCCUAUGCGCCAGGAAGAGCGAAUGGAAAGACUCCAAGAAACGGUGGACUGGCUAGUGGGUGCGCCAGUUGCGGCUGGUCAAGGACAGCCGGGAGUUGCAGCGGGGGCGUUCCCGUCGGGUUUGGGUGAUCCAACUUCUAUUGGUUCAGAGGUGGCGACGGAAAGGGAGCGAGCCUUGGCGACUCUCAUGGCUUUCAAGAAGUUCAAUUCGCCUACCUUUGAUGGAGAGGACACAGAUCCGUGGAUCAUGGAGAUGUGGAUUGAUUCCAUGGAAACGCUCUUCGAGGAUUUGUACACGUUGGAGCAGGACAAGGUAAACCUAGCUGUGCACUACUUGAGACAGUCGGCGAAGGUGUGGUGGAAAGGCGUUAAGCAAGAUCGAUCGCCUAGACUCCCUCCUAUGACUUGGGAAGAGUUUCGGGGAUUGGUGUUCUCAGCCUAUUUCCCUAACAGUGAAAAGCGAAAGCUUAAGGAAAGAUUCCAAAAGUUGCGGCAAGGAGAUCGCUCAGUUAGGCAAUACGAGCGGGAGUUUUCCCGUAUCGUGCAUUGUGUCCCAAACUUGGUACGGAAUGACAAGGACAAGGCUGACUGCUUUGUGCGUGGACUGUGGCCAGGCCUUUACAAGGCUGUGCUUGUACACAGAUUGCAGACUUUUGCUGAAGUCCUGGAUCGGGCCUUGUGGAUAGAACAAGGCGAGGCAUCUCUGCGGGAGGAGCACGAGGCAUAUUACAAGGAAAAGGAAAAAGGACGGCCAGUCAGUGGACACGGUGGUCAGUCAAGUUCCGAACAGACUUCGAUGAGUUCACACUCGCGAUCUCGAGCUUCGGGGACAUACCGCAUUCGGUCCUCGGCGAAAUGUGCUAUCUGUGGAGGCCCUCAUUUUCCACAGCAGUGUGAGCAGCGAAAGGGCAAGUGCUUCAAGUGUGAGCUGUCGAGUCAUAUGCGGGACAAGUGUCCACGUGGUGACGGCCAGGCCUUGACACUGGCGACGACCCAUUCCUCUCUGGGACAACCUCAGGUGCGCCACCUACGGCAUGGUCGGGAGAGUGGCCGUUGAGGACGAUGCAACCAGAGGGUUCGCGACGAGUGCCAGGUGGGCAUGGAUAAGCAACCCGAGUUGCGGAGCCUGCCGUUGCUGACGUCAUCGUGGCAGGUAUGAGUUAAUUGAGCAAGCAUGUGUUUUUAUUAAUCUCAAGUUGGUGCAUAGCAUGCAUUUGUUGUUGGUCGGUUGCUACUAAUUAUAUAUUGCAUAGUAGGGACCGAAUGGUCGGGUAAGUAGACGCCCGUACAUGCUUGCAUUGUGAGAAGUGGCACCUGCUGGUGCAAGUAGAAAGCCAAGUGGUGCUAGCUAAUGGCUAGUGAUGAUUCUCCGGUAAGGAAUGAGAUUCGUGGAGAACAUGGUCUAGUAAGUGACUCUCGAAAUAAUGGAUUGAAAAAUUGUGAAAGUUGAGCCUUAAUGUUGAGGAUACCCGAAAGACUCGGGAGUUGAGAAUGUGUUCCGGUAGAUCGGACAGUGAAAGUAGAAUCACCGUGGUGAGAGUAGCCGUGUAGUUGACGGACGUAGGCCUGUUGGCCUAGUAAUACCUCGAAGUUGAGGUGGACGAGUUGUGCUCGUGUAGUGGACGUGCAUAGGCAAGCUGCCUAAUGCUGGAUUUCGUGUUAGAUGCUGUAGAGGAGUAGAGCGCUCGAGUAUAGUUACUCGUGAGGUGCGGUUUCGAUUCAGCCGGUUGAGUGAGUUGGCAGUAGCAUUUUAGCAGGGCUAAGUGUGAAGCGGGCCAUGGAUCACUCGAGGGGCUGGUGGCUCGCACAAGGUGCUUAAGAGCCGAUAGAGGUACUUGUAGCUCUGUAGAGCAUGUCGUGUAGGACGAAGUUAGCGGGUAGUGCUUGGGGACGACCCGUGCCUGGACCACUUGUGGACUGUGGAGCCUGGACCCAUUGGGCAGGCGCAGUCAGCUGUGAGAGACAGCGGCCCGGUACCUAUCGGCAGGGCGAGAGUUUUGGUCAGGACGGUAAUCCGAGUUUAGACCCGAAUACGUGGAAUGUCACGUGUUAGAGUGCGAGAUUGAUGAUACACCGAAUGUGUAGUGACCCAACCCAAGGAUUAGAUAUGGAUUGGGGUCUUGAUAGCUCCUGGUUGGAGUGUGUGCGAGUUCUCCAAUGAGAAUGUCGCCCAAUGAUGAUUGGGUCUACGCUUGCGAGCGAGAAACGCUAGGCAUCGUUGAGACAAGUUUAGUCGGUAGGCCUACAUAGGGUGGGUGACUGUUGGUCCACCCAUAGAGACUGAUGGUCGGUGCGACCGAUGACCCUGUGAAUGAGCUUAGGCUCGAGUUGUGAACGAAGAGUUCGUGCAAAUUCACAGUCGGAGUAGAGUGGCAUUGAUCGUGGCUUAUGGUAUUAAAGGAUAAAGAGAAACCGAAGUGCCCUUAUAAGGCCUUGAGCUAAUGGAAGCCACGUGAGAAUUGGAGUUGGUACGCUCAAGUUAGUGGAAGCAGGUGGAUAAUGCUCUCAAGGGAGUUGAGGUUGAGACACGCCGAGGCGUGCCGUCUCGUGAUAGGGCAGAGAUUCGAUUGAGAUUGAAGCACUCGCAAUAGGCCGAUGUACCAAUGAUGUUGCCGUUAUGCAAUGCCAUUGGUCGGAAUCAGAGUGGAAAGGUGUGUUGGUUCCCUCGAUAACUCGAUAGAUCGAGUGGAGAUGUGGUUUGAAUUUCGCGGACGAAAUUCUUUUAAGGAGGGGAGAAUGUAACCCCCGAGAUCUCGGUGAAAUAUUGUGGACUUUAGCCUAAUUGACUAAAGUACUCGAAGGGAUUGGUUGGACGCGAUCCAUUAACGUUCCAACACUGUUGGAAGGGUUAAAAAUAAGCUCUACUCUAAAUCAGUCUGAACCGUCGUUUUGAGCAUGAACACGCGAAAACGGAUCAAAACGGACCAAUUCAAUCAACAUCGGAUGUCUUAGUAACCGGUACAAAACCAGAGGUUAACACCGUAACACGACCAAGCCUGAAGUUCAAGGCAUUGAGACUGCCAAGGCACCUAUGUACCGAACAAGAUCUGUACGCUACAAGACCUCGCAAACCGAUAACACCGAGCGUCUCGAUCUGGCUCUCUGCAGGCCUGCACCGGACAAGAAACCGUGUAUACCCGUACCAAGGAUCCCGAAACCGCAGGUUGAAGUUGCAAUCUUUGGAAAAAAACAAGGGCUAAGUGUCAAUAUUAUACAUACACAUUAUAGGUAUUCAGAUUCCUUUAUACUCCCUGCCCACUCCUACAACCCUCUCCUCUCUCUGUUAUCGCGUGCCCACACCGAAGGAGAAAAGAAAGAAAUGAGAAAAAGAAGAAGAAAAAAAAGAAGAAAAGAUAAAAGAAGUUGAAAAGAAAUGAAAGAAAUCGUAGAAAGAAUCUCAUCCUCUCCUCAUCUCCCAUGAUCUUGAGCACAGCUUUAGAGUAAGCUCUAACCCUAAAAAUGGUAUUCCUAGCGUUUAGGUUUGGUUGCUCUUGGGAUUUCAAAUGAACCAUUUGAGUUAGAAUGAGGAUUUCUAGCUCCAUUGAAGCUGAAACCAUGAAUGCGACCAUAUCAACACCUCAAGGUUGGUUGGGUUUUGGAACCUAAUCUUGAUNNNNNNNNNNNNNNNNNNNNNNNNNCACCCAAAGUGGUGUCGGGUGUGUGCGACGAUUUCGCCGCCCAGGGGCUAGAAAACCAUUAUCGUGGCGUGUGUGCGACGAUUUCGCCGCCGGAUGGUUAGCCAGUUUGUGGAUCCUACCACCUGUUGACUGAACCACUGUCGUGGCGUGUGUGCGACGAUUUCGCCGCCGGGUGACUAAGUCAUGAACCUAGGCCGUUGUUGGGUGAGGUGCGAUUCGUUCGCCGCCAGACGACUAGGACAGGAGUACGGUGAGCUGUUGCCAGCUGAGGUGCAUGUGAGAGUUUCUUCACCUCGAGCUAGACAGUGCCCGGACUAUCCGCGAGUGAUUGACUCAAGACCGAGUCGGGUGGCAUAGCGAACUAAGGUAAAGAAACCUUAGGAAAGAAUAGCUAAAGAAUAAGGAAUGGCUAAAGAAUAAUGAAUAGCUAAAGAAAAAUUGCAAGAAAAAAAUAGCUAAGAGCUAAAAGUAAGCAUUAAAUGGCAAAGAGUAAAGAAUGAUUAAGAACAUAAGUAGUGUUAAAGUAACCUACUUGCAUGAUUACAGGUAUUGCAUAUUGCAUUUCGUGAGGCAUGACAUGUAUGUCAGUUGAAUAUAUAUCUAUUGUAUAUUAUUGAACUAACAUGUUGCAGUGCCUCGUUAGACCUAUUGGCUGAGCUUGUUCUCUUGGGUGGCUAAACCCACUAAGGACUAUGGACAAUAGUCUCACCCCCGUGUUACUGUUUUGGGGGUAUAGGUACACACGUGUGCGGCGCGGCGGCGCAAGGCAAGGACGUAGUUCUGCAGAUAGCAUCCUACCCAGAGACUGAGAUAGCAGUACCCGAGUUGGUGGUCUAGCUUGGGAGGUUUAAAGACAAACUUUUAUCAAGAUGUAUUAAAUUGUAAUAAGUAAACGAUGUGCUAAUUAUGAUUGUAUUUGGAGGUUGAUUGUAAAAGAAAAAUUAUGUUGUAAAAUGCAUCUAAGUUGAAUGCUGUAAUAACUUAGUAGUUUAUAUUUUGAUACUUCCUUAUGCAAUCUGUGAGUGAAUACUGUUCCUGGUUGGAACCUCUCGUAUUGUUUUGAUUGCGACGCCUUGGAUGUACAGGGGAGACUCUGUCUGUCCGGCGGUCUGUCGGCGGCGCCGCGACCCGGCCAAAUUGGCGGGUGGUCGCGGGGCGUGACAUAGUCGAUGUCAAAAUGGCCUAUCAUCAAGUCUCUAUAUUGCAGUUUAACAAUUUUCUAGUCCAAGUGCCUCUUCAUGACACUAUGGCUCAUUAUGUCCCAACAUGGAUACUAAGUUCAAGAACUUGUAAUUCUAGUCAUAUUCGAAGCAAGAAACUUGAUUUCAUAUCAUCUCACAGAAUGUUCACCGCAUGCAUAUUAACAAAGCAUAUAUGUCUCUCUACUAUAUGGAGUAAAUUUUCUUGAUGCAUAACAUAUGAGUUCUAAGCAUUCAAAAAUUCUCAUAAAUGCUACUAAACAUGAAUAUGCAUGAAUUUAUAGUAAAUGAAAGCAUUUAACCAUAUAGGAGGAAUUUCCUCCCAUUUCAAAGAAGCCAAACCCACCACGGCGUCACGAAACCCUUCGUAAGCUCCAACGAAGGUAUCCACUACUCUUCUAGGACCCUAAGGGUACAAAACGAAGAGUCACACAAACCGAACGAACAACUCCUAGGUUAAACAUUAACCAAUACAAGAAAAAGGGCAAAACUCACAUUGU
rnacentral:lncRNA from 1 species